CUAGCGACUUCAGAGUUUGAUCCUGGCUCAGGAUGAACGCUGGCGGCGUGCUUAACACAUGCAAGUCGAACGAGGGUUGCUGGUUGAAGUUUUCGGAUGGAAACCGGUAAUUCCUAGUGGCGGACGGGUGAGUAACGCGUGGGGAACCUGCCCCGCUCCGGGGGAUACCAGCUGGAAACGGCUGUUAAUACCGCAUAAGCGCACAGUAUCGCAUGAUGCAGUGUGAAAAACUCCGGUGGAACGGGAUGGCCCCGCGUCUGAUUAGCCAGUUGGCAGGGUAACGGCCUACCAAAGCGACGAUCAGUAGCCGGCCUGAGAGGGCGACCGGCCACAUUGGGACUGAGACACGGCCCAA
rnacentral:rRNA from 1 species